CAGAACGAUGAGCGAGACAAGUACGAAUAUAUAUAAAAUGGAAAAGGAGACGUCGUCGACUGAUAUUGCCAAUCGCGCGAUAAGAUCGGCAUCAACGCUGUUCGCAUUUUCAAUGAUAAAUGACGGCGAUUUUUGCCGCGAUACUGUUGCGCUCGGUGCUAUCCGUGCAAUGUCCUUUGUAUCUCUCUCUCUCUCUCUCUCUCUCUCUCUCUCUCUCUCUCUCUCUCUCUUUCCCACGAUGCGGCUCAUACUUAUUUUUCUCGCUCUAGCCAUCUCUUUCUGCCUCCAUCAUCGCUUCUCUCUCUCUCUCUCUUUCUUCCACUCUUUCCUCUGUCUGCCCUUCAUGUCGAUUUUUCGCUCGACAGCCGCCAACACGCUCUUCUUUUCUUUAUCCCGCGUAGGAACCCUCGGCUAUUCCUUUUAUCCCCGCUUUUUCUGCACACUUAGAUAUGGCGCAUCGAUUAAUAAUGGACCUGCUUACAGUGUUGCAGCGGUUUCGACGCGGGUCGUUUUAUUCGUGCGAUCGUUAUUACUAUGUUGCAGCCACCACCAGCGCAAAACCAGUUUCGAUCCUGGCACUACGCUCGCAUCCGUGCUGUUGCUUAUUCCGUGCUGUUGCAUUAUACCCAUUGAUGGAAAACAUCUUCUUCCAAGUGUUAGGAAAGUGAACAGUCAUACUGGCGUAUAUUAUGGGAUUGUAGCAGAUGGAGGACUUCGCGAGGAGUGUUGGCAGCACCGCUACUAAAUGGGAGAAAUUGGAUGCAUCAACAUUAUCUUAGAUGAAGACUUAUGCUUAAUGCUUUUAUACGACUAUCGUAAAUUGAAAUUAAAAAAAAAAAAGUGUUAUUUA
rnacentral:lncRNA from 13 species